ensembl:ncRNA ZK757.5 ncRNA
GCAAUUUCCUCCGAAUUCCGGAAGUAUUCGCACGCCUUCUUGCUCCCAUUCAACUUUUUCUUCGUUUUUACCAUUCCUCCCACCAUUAUUUUCUAAAACUUCAUUGUAUUCACCAUGUGUAAAACUCUAUCUUUCCAUCAUUUUCAAACC